rnacentral:tRNA from 2 species
AGCGAAAUAGAGCAUAAGGAAAGUUCGUCGGAUUCAUGCUCCGAAGGUAAUCGGUUCAAUUCCGUUUUUCGCUUA